ACCAAAAAGAGAAGCCACUGACUUCAGGAAGCAAAGCCUUGGUGACAGAGGGCUAUAGUUCCUGAUUGAAGGGCUGUGGAUCUGGGAGGCCAUGACAGGCUCUCUAGACUCGAGUGCUACUACAGGACACCUAGGCUCUUCCGCCUCUGGCUGGCAACGAAUGCCAAGCAGGCUCAACAAGGAGAGGCAUCUGCACUUCUUCAGUACCCCACCCUGAUGGGGUGGACCAAAGAAGACCAUAUGAGGACCCACUAUUCAGCCUACCCCAAAACUGUCAACUCUGAUGGCCCAGAGGAAGAUCCAAACUGGGUGGGAUGUCCAAGAAAUGAAGACUGUAUUUAGAAGAAUGUUUUUUAAUUAGACUUGUCAAUUAGGACUGGAAGGCAA
rnacentral:lncRNA from 1 species